AAGGUACUCCCUCCGUCCGGAAAUACUUGUCGUAAAAUGGAUACGAAUGGAUGUAUCUAGAACUAAAAUACAUCUAGAUACAUCCAUUCCUCGGACAAGUAUUUUCGGACGGAGGGAGUAGUAA
rfam:Triticum urartu cultivar G1812 contig405641, whole genome shotgun sequence.